GAUGAACGCUGGCGGCGUGCCUAACACAUGCAAGUCGAGCGGCAGCGAGGGGUGCUUGCACCCUGUCGGCGAGCGGCGGACGGCUGAGUAACGCGUGGGAACGUGCCCCAAAGUGAGGAAUAACUGCCCGAAAGGGUAGCUAAUACCGCAUAUUAUCUUCGGAUCAAAGGAUUUAUCCGCUUUGGGAGCGGCUCGCGUCGGAUUAGGCAGUUGGUGAGGUAAUGGCUCACCAAGCCGACGAUCCGUAGCUGGUCUGAGAGGAUGACCAGCCAGACUGGAACUGAGACACGGUCCAGACUCCUACGGGAGGCAGCAGUGAGGAAUCUUCCACAAUGGGCGAAAGCCUGAUGGAGCAACGCCGCGUGCAGGACGAAGGCCUUCGGGUUGUAAACUGCUUUUAUAAGUGAGGAAUAUGACGGUAACUUAUGAAUAAGGAUCGGCUAACUACGUG
rnacentral:rRNA from 1 species